rnacentral:rRNA from 1 species
UACGUAGGGUGCAAGCGUUGUCCGGAAUUAUUGGGCGAUAAAGAGCUCGUAGGCGGUUCUGUCGCGGUACGGCUGUGAAAACUCGGGGCUCAACCCCGAGCCUGCAGUCCGAUAACGGGCAGACGUAGAGUGCUGUAGGGGAGACGUGGAAUUCCUGGUGUAGCGGUGAAAUACGCAGAUAUCAGGAGGAACACCGGUGGCGAAGGCGGGUCUCUGGGCGAGUAACUGACGCUGAGGAGCGAAAGCGUGGGGAGCGAACAGG